GUAGCUUGAAGGUCAUUGCGAGCCUUGUAGACAUCGUAGCAUUGUCAUAGCACUUUAGUUAGCGUUUAUUGACAGUAGCUUGAAGGUCAUUGCGAGCCUUGUAGACAUCGUAGCAUUGUCAUAGCACUUUAGUUAGCUUUUAUUGACAGUAGCUGGAAGGUCAUUGCGAGCCUUGUAGACAUCGUAGCAUUGUCAUAGCACUUUAGUUAGCGUUUAUUGACAGUAGCUGGAAGGUCAUCGUGUGGUCCAAUCGCUGUACUAAUACUGUCUCUAAUCUUUUUGUUACCGAUUACCAAUUACGUUUAUUUUGUUAA
rnacentral:sRNA from 1 species